AAGUGGGUUCAAACUAUGACUAUGGCAUUGGAUCCCAUCAGACCUCCAAAGUUUAGCGUCCUUGGGAUUGAAUAGUACUAGGCUGGGUGACCAUCUUGGAAGUCCAAGUGACCCCCUCU
rfam:Selaginella moellendorffii unplaced genomic scaffold SELMOscaffold_2, whole genome shotgun sequence.